UAACCACUCAAGCCUCGGCUUGGUCUUGGGGUUCGCGGUUUCGCGGCCCUUAAAAUCAGUGGCGGUGCCGUCUGGCUCUAAGCGUAGUAAUUCUCUCGCUAUAGGGUCCAGGUGACCACCUGCCAUACCCCCCCCAUUUUUUAC
rnacentral:misc_RNA from 1 species